rnacentral:tRNA from 1 species
GCCUGGGUGGCUCAGUCGGUUAAGCAUCUGACUUCGGCUCAGGUCACGAUCUCACAGUUUGUGAGUUCGAGCCCCGCCUCGGGCU